CUUCAUGUUCGUGGCUUCAGUGACCUCAUCUAUCCAUCUCCAUCUCUGUCGUCCCCUUCUUCGUGUGCCUUCAAUCUUUCCCAGCAGCAGCGUCUUCUCUAGAGAAUCCUGCCUUCUCAUUAUAUGGCCAAAAUAUUUGAGCUUCAGCCUCAAGAUCAUAGCUUCCAGUGAACAGUUUGUCUUAAUUUCCUGUAGUACGGAUUUAUUGGAUCUUCUUGCAAUCCAAUGGAUUCUAAGCAGUUUUUGCCAACACCACAGUUCAAAGGCAUCAAUUCUAUAACGCUCAGCCUUC